rnacentral:rRNA from 1 species
GAUGAACGCUGGCGGCAUGCCUAAUACAUGCAAGUCGAGCGAACGGACGAGAAGCUUGCUUCUCUGAUGUUAGCGGCGGACGGGUGAGUAACACGUGGAUAACCUACCUAUAAGACUGGGAUAACUUCGGGAAACCGGAGCUAAUACCGGAUAAUAUUUUGAACCGCAUGGUUCAAAAGUGAAAGACGGUCUUGCUGUCACUUAUAGAUGGAUCCGCGCUGCAUUAGCUAGUUGGUAAGGUAACGGCUUACCAAGGCAACGAUGCAUAGCCGACCUGAGAGGGUGAUCGGCCACACUGGAACUGAGACACGGUCCAGACUCCUACGGGAGGCAGCAGUAGGGAAUCUUCCGCAAUGGGCGAAAGCCUGACGGAGCAACGCCGCGUGAGUGAUGAAAGUCUUCGGAUCGUAAAACUCUGUUAUUAGGGAAGAACAUAUGUGUAAGUAACUGUGCACAUCUUGACGGUACCUAAUCAGAAAGCCACGGCUAACUACGUG